GUCUUCUACUGUGUCCUCUACUCAGUUGUGAUGACACAGACAAGAUUAGCCUGACUCCUGAACAGGGAUGACAUGCAAAUGUGUGACGUGUUCCAUAUUCAA